rnacentral:rRNA from 1 species
UGACAACUCUAGAGAUAGAGCUUUCCCCUUCGGGGGACAAAGUGACAGGUGGUGCAUGGUUGUCGUCAGCUCGUGUCGUGAGAUGUUGGGUUAAGUCCCGCAACGAGCGCAACCCUUAAGCUUAGUUGCCAUCAUUAAGUUGGGCACUCUAAGUUGACUGCCGGUGACAAACCGGAGGAAGGUGGGGAUGACGUCAAAUCAUCAUGCCCCUUAUGAUUUGGGCUACACACGUGCUACAAUGGACAAUACAAAGGGCAGCGAAACCGUGAGGUCAAGCAAAUCCCAUAAAGUUGUUCUCAGUUCGGAUUGUAGUCUGCAACUCGACUACAUGAAGCUGGAAUCGCUAGUAAUCGUAGAUCAGCAUGCUACGGUGAAUACGUUCCCGGGUCUUGUACACACCGCCCGUCACACCACGAGAGUUUGUAACACCCGAAGCCGGUGGAGUAACCUUUUAGGAGCUAGCCGUCGAAGGUGGGACAAAUGAUUGGGGUGAAGUCGUAACAAGGUAGCCGUAUCGGAAGGUGCGGCUGGAUCACCUCCUUUCUAAGGA